AGCAGUAGCCGCGGUAAUACGUAGGUGGCAAGCGUUGUCCGGAAUUAUUGGGCGUAAAGCGCGCGCAGGUGGUUAUGUAAGUCUGAUGUGAAAAUGCAGGGCUCAACUCUGUAUUGCGUUGGAAACUGUGUAACUAGAGUACUGGAGAGGUAAGCGGAACUACAAGUGUAGAGGUGAAAUUCGUAGAUAUUUGUAGGAGUGCCGAUGGGGAAGCCAGCUUACUGGACAGAUACUGACGCUGAAGCGCGAAAGCGUGGGUAGCAAACAGGAUUAGAUACCCCGGUAGUCCCUGUCUCUUAUACA
rnacentral:rRNA from 1 species